rnacentral:rRNA from 1 species
AAAAAGAGGAGUGGCGAACGGGUGAGUAACACGUGGGUAACCUGCCCAUCAGAAGGGGAUAACACUUGGAAACAGGUGCUAAUACCGUAUAACAAUCAAAACCGCAUGGUUUUGAUUUGAAAGGCGCUUUCGGGUGUCGCUGAUGGAUGGACCCGCGGUGCAUUAGCUAGUUGGUGAGGUAACGGCUCACCAAGGCCACGAUGCAUAGCCGACCUGAGAGGGUGAUCGGCCACAUUGGGACUGAGACACGGCCCAAACUCCUACGGGAGGCAGCAGUAGGGAAUCUUCGGCAAUGGACGAAAGUCUGACCGAGCAACGCCGCGUGAGUGAAGAAGGUUUUCGGAUCGUAAAACUCUGUUGUUAGAGAAGAACAAGGAUGAGAGUAACUGUUCAUCCCUUGACGGUAUCUAACCAGAAAGCCACGGCUAACUACGUGCCAGCAGCCGCGGUAAUACGUAGGUGGCAAGCGUUGUCCGGAUUUAUUGGGCGUAAAGCGAGCGCAGGCGGUUUCUUAAGUCUGAUGUGAAAGCCCCCGGCUCAACCGGGGAGGGUCAUUGGAAACUGGGAGACUUGAGUGCAGAAGAGGAGAGUGGAAUUCCAUGUGUAGCGG